ensembl:lncRNA
CUGUAACUUAAAAAUGGAUGUCCUGUCCACGGCCUGGCUCUUCUGGAGAUUCAUUCAUUUCCACAGUACUUGGCUGUGCUCACAGUGUCCCAGGCGUAGAUGCCGAGAUGUGCGUCUCAUCAGAACAAGAAGGCACCUUUCCCACAAGAGCUAUAACAUAGCCUCUGCGGACGCAGCCCUCGGCAGCAGGGAGGAGCCCACAUUCAGAGGACUGGACGCAGUUCACACAGCUGAGGGACCUGUGACUCCGAUGGGGCCUUCGAUUCCUUUAUAUUUAUCAGUCGCAUGGAGAUCCUUGGAGCAACAGCUUCUCAAAAAUUUGAAACCCUGUAUGCUUCUGCUGCUGCUAAGUCGCUUCAGUCAUGUCCGACUCUGUUCGACCCCAGAGACGGCAGCCCACCAGACUCCCCCGUGCCUGGGAUUCUCCCGGCAAGAACACUGGAGUGGGUUGCCAUUUCCUUCUCCAAUACAUGAAAGUGAAAAGUGAAAGUGAAGUCGCUCAGUCGUGUCUGACUCUUAGCGACCCCAUGGACUGCAGCCUACCAGGCUCCUCGGUCCAUGGGAUUUUCCAGGCCAGAGUACUGGAGUGGGUGCCAUUGCCUUCUCCAGAAACCCUGCAUAAUGUGGAUUAAACUCUCAUCUCAUUUA